rfam:Picea glauca, whole genome shotgun sequence.
GGGCCUAUAGCUCAGUGGUAGAGCCUUUGACUGCAGAUCAAGAGGUCACCGGUUGGAACCGGGUUGGGCCCU